UACGUAGGGGGCUAGCGUUGUCCGGAAUCAUUGGGCGUAAAGCGCGUGUAGGCGGCCCGGUAAGUCCGCUGUGAAAGUCGGGGGCUCAACCCUCGGAUGCCGGUGGAUACUGUCGGGCUUGAGUACGGAAGAGGCGAGUGGAAUUCCUGGUGUAGCGGUGAAAUGCGCAGAUAUCAGGAGGAACACCAAUGGCGAAGGCAGCUCACUGGGACGGUAUUGACGCUGAGACGCGAAAGCGUGGGGAGCAAACAGG
rnacentral:rRNA from 1 species